CUUUCAGCAGUCAAAAUAUUUUUAUUUCUGCUGACUUGUACAAGAAACACAGCAUCGCUAGAGUGUUAUGCAUGUUCCAAUGCGACAGAUAUAAACAAGUGUAACAAUGUUGUUCAAUGUAGCACUCAGCAAUCAUUUUUCCAUGAUUUGUCUACAAUUGGGCAGACUCAGAUGUAUUCACUGGGAUGUAUUGAUAAAAAUGUAAUAUACAAUUCCAGCUUCUAGACACUAUCAGUUGGUGUAUCAUGCUUUUUAAUGUAGAAAUUGCAAGGCUAAUGAGCGUAUAUUAAA